rnacentral:rRNA from 1 species
AAUAGAUACCCAGGUAGUCCACGCCGUAAACGUUGGGCGCUAGAUGUGGGGACCAUUCCACGGUUUCCGCGUCGUAGCUAACGCAUUAAGCGCCCCGCCUGGGGAGUACGGCCGCAAGGCUAAAACUCAAAGGAAUUGACGGGGGCCCGCACAAGCGGCGGAGCAUGCGGAUUAAUUCGAUGCAACGCGAAGAACCUUACCAAGGCUUGACAUAUGCGAGAACGCUCUAGAAAUAGAGAACUCUUUGGACACUCGUAUACAGGUGGUGCAUGGUUGUCGUCAGCUCGUGUCGUGAGAUGUUGGGUUAAGUCCCGCAACGAGCGCAACCCUCGUCGCAUGUUGCCAGCACGUAAUGGUGGGAACUCAUGUGAGACUGCCGGGGUCAACUCGGAGGAAGGUGGGGAUGACGUCAAAUCAUCAUGCCCCUUAUGUCUUGGGCUUCACGCAUGCUACAAUGGCCGGUACAAAGGGCUGCGAAACCGCAAGGUGGAGCGAAUCCCAAAAACGCCGGUCUCAGUUCGGAUUGAGGU